GUAAAUCCACUUGAGCACCACAUGCUGGGUGCGACACAGUGGGAAAGGGCGUGACUCUGGCUGUUGAUUACAUUCGAGGCGAGAAAGAAAAUGAGACAGGGAGAGAGAAGCAAACGAGUGCGGUAACAGAGUCAGAGACCCGAAGGAAACUUUCAAGGUUUCACAGAGUUCCUCUUCUUCAGGCAGUAAAACCAGUUUCACUAUGUAUAAUAAUCAGGUGAACGGUCCCAUGUAUGAAAACCAAGCGUUUAAACAUGAAGAAUAUAGUCCUCCGUAUUCUGUAACACAGCAGAUCCCCAGCCAUUCCUACAUCAACCAGUAUUAUACUUCAACACCCGGAAUACCAGCUAAUCCAAGGCAAACAAAAGG